rnacentral:rRNA from 1 species
CCUACGGGAGGCAGCAGUAGGGAAUAUUGGUCAAUGGGGGAAACCCUGAACCAGCAACGCAGCGUGAAGGAUGAAGGUUUUCGGAGUGUAAAAUCCUUUUGAUAGAGAAGAUAAUGAAGGUAUCUGAGGAAUAAGCAAUGGCCAACUCCGUGCCAGCAGCCACAGCAAUGCGGAGGGUGCAGGCGUUACUCGGAAACACUGGGCGUUAAGCGGGCGUAGGAGGGAUAGAAAGUCAGAUGUGAAAUUUUGUGGUUUAACCAUAGAACUGCAAUUGAUACUGGUAUUCUAGAGUAUGGGAGAGGUAGGUGGAAUUCUUGGUGUAGCGGUAAAAUGCGUAGAGAUAACGAGGAAUACUCAUUGCGAAGGCGACCUGCUAGACCAUAACUGACGUUGAUGCGCGAAAGCGUGGGGAGCAAACAGGAUUAGAUACCCCUGUAGUC